GAUGAACGCUGGCGGCGUGCUUAACACAUGCAAGUCGAACGGUGAAGGCGGAGCUUGCUCUGCUGGAUCAGUGGCGAACGGGUGAGUAACACGUGAGCAAUCUGCCCCUGACUCUGGGAUAAGCGCUGGAAACGGCGUCUAAUACUGGAUACGAGCUGCGAAGGCAUCUUCAGCAGCUGGAAAGAACUUCGGUCAGGGAUGAGCUCGCGGCCUAUCAGCUUGUUGGUGAGGUAACGGCUCACCAAGGCGUCGACGGGUAGCCGGCCUGAGAGGGUGACCGGCCACACUGGGACUGAGACACGGCCCAGACUCCUACGGGAGGCAGCAGUGGGGAAUAUUGCACAAUGGGCGCAAGCCUGAUGCAGCGACGCCGCGUGAGGGAUGACGGCCUUCGGGUUGUAAACCUCUUUCAGCUCCGACGAAGCGCAAGUGACGGUAGGAGCAGAAGAAGCACCGGCCAACUACGUG
rnacentral:rRNA from 1 species